rnacentral:rRNA from 1 species
UACGUAGGUGGCAAGCGUUAUCCGGAUUUAUUGGGUGUAAAGGGCGUGUAGGCGGGAGCGCAAGUCAGAUGUGAAAACUCAGGGCUCAACCCUGAGCCUGCAUUUGAAACUGUGUUUCUUGAGUGCUGGAGAGGCAAUCGGAAUUCCGUGUGUAGCGGUGUAAUGCGUAGAUAUACGGAGGAACACCAGUGGCGAAGGCGGAUUGCUGGACAGUAACUGACGCUGAGGCGCGAAAGCGUGGGGAGCAAACGGG